AUUGAACGCUGGCGGCAGGCCUAACACAUGCAAGUCGAACGAGUGGCGGACGGGUGAGUGAUGGCUGGGAAACUGCCUGAUGGAGGGGGCUAACGACUGUAAACGUUAGCUAAUACCGCAUACGAUCAGAUGGGCCCAGGUGGGAUUAGCUUGUUGGUGGGGUAACGGGGCACCAAGGCGAAGAUCCCUAGCUGGUCUGAGAGGAUGACCAGCCACACUGGAACGUGGAAACGGUCCAGACUCCUACGGGAGGCAGCAGUGGGGAAUAUUGCACAAUGGGCGAAAGUCGGAUGCGGCCAUGCCGGGGGGAUGAAGAAGGCCUUCGGGUUGUAAAGUACUUGCAGCGGGGAGGCGUUACCCGAAGAAGAAGCACCGGCUAACUCCGUUCCAGCCGCCGCGGGAAUUC
rnacentral:rRNA from 1 species